UAUAACUCUGCAAUUUUAUCUAGCAUUCUUUUCUUCUACUGGUGACAUGUACACACACACACACACACACACACACACACACACACAUACAUACACACACGCACUUAUCAGCAAUCUUCUAUCCUCCUCUUUAAACCAGCUGGUUUUGUCACAAAUGAAGUAGACGCGUGUGACAUUUGGUGCCGAAACCCAGGACAGGAGGACUCCUUCGGGAGACCGGUCCCCUGUCCUCACCCUCACUCCAUGAGGAGAUCCACCUGUGAACUGGGGUCGUCAGACCAAACAACCCAAGGAACAUCUCACCAAUUUCAAAUCAGCUUGAAACAUGUCUGGGAUGGCUACAACUCCAUUUUGGACCAGGAAGACAAGGGACCUAACUUAGAAAUGGUGGAGGAGAAAGCUUCAGUCAGCUUGGGGUCCAGAGGAUGGUAUGGCCUCUAUACCAGCUCCGGAAUGCUUCCAUAUGGACUUUUACAAGAAAGAAAAAUAACUGUCACUAAUUUUUGUGUCUUUGUCAUUCCUGGGACAACCUAAUGCUAAAUAAUAUAUCUACCCUAAGCCUUCUCUACUCCCCUAGGUUUGACCAUUUCCUCUUUGUGAUCCUUCUGCUCUUUGUUCAUGAUUCUAUCAUAGCACCUUCCAUAAUGUAUUGUCAUAACUUAUGCACCUCACAUGUAGGCACAUAAUUUGACUGACUUUGUUGAAACCUGUGAAUAGAUUUCAGCCUGUUAAUUUGAACCUCUAUUCUCUUAUGUAUUAUUGUAAUUUAAAAAUUUUUUAUUCUUCUAAUUAGAUUGCAAGCUCUUUGAGCACAGGAACCUUUUCUUAUUCAUCUUUGUAAAAUGUCCCUUUCGUUCUUCCUUAUAUUCUCUAUUUCUAUGCUGAGAAUUUCUGUCUAUUUGUUUCAAGAGUGUUUACCCUUGCUUCUUAGAGAAUUUUUAUAAUAGCUGCUUUAAAAACUGUCAGAUAAUUCUAACGUAUGUGUUAUUCUGUUGUUGGCAUCCAUUGAUCGUCUUUUUUCAUACGAGUUGAGAUUGUACUUAUUCUUCCAAUGCUGUUAUUUUGGGUUGUGCCUGGACAUUUUGAAUAUCAUAAGGCUCUUAGCCUGUGAUGGUUAAUUUUAGGUGUCAGUUUAACUGGUUUAAGGGAUACCUAGAGAAGUGAUAAAGCAUUAUUUUUCGGUGUGUCUGUGAGGGUGUUUCCAAAGGAGAUUGGCAUGUGCAUCUGAGUGGACUCAGUGGGGAAGAUCCACCCUCAAAGUAGGUAGGCACCAUGCAAUUGGCCGGGGGCUUAGCUAGAACAAAAACAAAGGAAAGGCAGGUUGGUCUCUCUCUCCCUCUCCCUCAGAACCGGGAUACACUCUUUUUCUCUUUGGACAUCAGAAAUUCAGUUUUUUUGGCCUUUGGACAACAGGACUUAUACCAGUAGCCCUCCAGGUUCUCAAGAUUUUAGAUUUGUACUGAGUCAUGCUACUGACAUUCCAGGGUCUCCAGCUUGCAGACGGCCUGUCAUGGAAUUUCUUGGCCUCUAUAAUCACAUAAGCCAACUCCCCUAAUGAAUCCCCUCUCAUAUAUGUCUCUAUCUAUCGAUCUACCUACCUACGUACCUAUCUGUCUAUUUUCUAUCGCUUCUAUCUCUCUGAAGAAUCCUAACUACCACAGGGCCUUUUUGAAAUCCUAUGAAGGAAGCUGAUAUUUUUGUUUGAACAGACAAUUGACCUGGCUGCAUGUUUUGAUUGUACUUCUGAGUUUGGCACUGUCUUGAGUUCAGGUUAGGGGAUAUUGGAGGGAAAAAAUAUGAAAGUCAUUGCCAGUUUAAAGAUACUUCAAAUUCUAAUCUUCUCCAGUACAUCUGCUAUCUUUAUUUUUCAGAGUCUGAAAAUAGCUGUUCCACGCAUUCUGUCUAGGUUUUAUACUUACAUUCAGUGGGUGAAAUAGAAUGAAUUUUGCUUACUCCAUCUUACCCAGAACUAAAACUUACUAAGUCAUUUUUAAAAACAUAUGUCCUCAAUUUCUGUAGAGGUUAAAAAGAAGAAAUGGCCAUACAAAUAAUGAUUCUGAGUUUCUAGUACAGUCCUUAAGAUGUAUCUUGAUACAUUAUAGGGUUUAAAGUGUUGUACGCAAAGCAGUUGGGAAAUGUGGAAAGUGCAUAAACCUUGGAAUUAGACAGUCCUAGCUACAUUUCAUAGAAAUAGAAAAUAGAUUAAUAUGAUACACUCUGAGAGAAUUAAAUCAUAUCAUGUAUGACAAUUCUCCAGCAUACAUAAGGUAGAAAAUAAAUGUUAAUUUCACCUCCUUUUAGAAUUUAGUAUCAGGAAAAGAUUGCCUGCAGAAAUAGCAUAUUUCUUUUAAUUUUUUUAAUUAAACAUUUUUUUUAGAGAUAGGGUCUCAC
rnacentral:lncRNA from 1 species